rnacentral:rRNA from 1 species
GACGAACGCUGGCGGCGUGCUUAACACAUACAAGUCGAACGGUAAGGCCCUUCGGGGUACACGAGUGGCGAACGGGUGAGUAACACGUGGGUGAUCUGCCCUGCACUUCGGGAUAAGCCUGGGAAACUGGGUCUAAUACCGGAUAGGACUCCUGCCUGCAUGGGUGGGGGUGGAAAGCUUUUGCGGUGUGGGAUGGGCCCGCGGCCUAUCAGCUUGUUGGUGGGGUGAUGGCCUACCAAGGCGACGACGGGUAGCCGGCCGGAGAGGGUGACCGGCCACACUGGGACUGAGAUACGGCCCAGACUCCUACGGGAGGCAGCAGUGGGGAAUAUUGCACAAUGGGCGCAAGCCUGAUGCAGCGACGCCGCGUGAGGGAUGACGGCCUUCGGGUUGUAAACCUCUUUCAGCACAGACGAAGCGCAAGUGACGGUAUGUGCAGAAGAAGGACCGGCCAACUACGUGCCAGCCGCCGCAGUAA